rnacentral:rRNA from 1 species
AUUGAACGCUGGCGGCAGGCUUAACACAUGCAAGUCGAGCGCGCGGCGGGCGUGUGAGUAAUGUCUGGGACACUGCCUGAUGGAGGGGGAUAACUACUGGAAACGGUCGCUUAUACCGCAUACUAUCAUGUGUGCCCAGAGGGGAUUAUCUAGUAGGUGGUGUAAUGGCUCACCUAGGCGACGCUCCCUAGCUGGUCUGAGAGGAUGACCAGCCACACUGGAACUGAGACACGGUCCAGACUCCUACGGGAGGCAGCAGUGGGGAAUAUUGCACAAUGGGCGCAAGCCUGAUGGAGCAACGCCGCGUGUGUGAAGAAGGCCUUCGGGUUGUAAAGCACUGUCAGCGGGGAGGCGGUACUCGCAGAGGAAGCAACGGCUAACUCCGUGCCAGCAGCCGCGGUAAUUC